GACGAACGCUGGCGGCGUGCCUAACACAUGCAAGUCGAGCGAGGAGAGUUCCUUCGGGAACAAACCUGGCGGCGGACGGGUGAGUAACACGUGGGCAACCUGCCUUGUAGAGGGAAUAGCCUUCCGAAAGGAAGAUUAAUACCGCAUAACAUUACAGUUUCGCAUGAAACAGUAAUUAAAGGAGUAAUCCGCUACAAGAUGGGCCCGCGGCGCAUUAGCUAGUUGGUGAGGUAACGGCUCACCAGGGCGACGAUGCGUAGCCGACCUGAGAGGGUGAUCGGCCACAUUGGGACUGAGACACGGCCCAGACUCCUACGGGAGGCAGCAGUGGGGAAUAUUGCACAAUGGGGGAAACCCUGAUGCAGCAACGCCGCGUGAGUGAUGAAGGUUUUUCGGAUCGUAAAGCUCUGUCUUCGGGGACGAUAAUGACGGUACCCGAGGAGAAAGCCACGGCUAACUACGUG
rnacentral:rRNA from 1 species